AUGCUAAAAAAUAGUUUGUUGGUGGGUUUGGCACCUUAUCUUAUACCCAACGGUGUUGCGGUGCUUCAAUAUGCUGAUGGUACUAUUGUCUGUUUGGAUCAUGAUGUCGAUAGAGCAGUUAACCUGAAGUUGCUGCUAUACAUAUUUGAGCUGAUGUCUGGGCUUAAAGUUAAUUACCAAAAAAGUGAGAUUUUCACUGUGGGUGGUGGUGAGAAUAUUGUGAAACAAUAUGCUGACUUGUUUAAUUGCGAUGUGGGUAUUUUUCCUAUCAAGUAUCUUGGCAUGCCUGUCAGCUAUACUACUCUCAGAGAUUCAGACUGGGAGUUUAUAGUGGUUAAAUAUCUUAAAAGAUUUGAGGCAUGGAUCGAUAAUGCCGCAUCCAUGGGGGUGGGAGGCUUACUUUGCUGGAUUCGGUUGUUACCCAAAUAUCUCUGUAUCAUAUGUCUAUGUGGCUUAUGA
rnacentral:rRNA from 1 species